rnacentral:rRNA from 1 species
CAUGAAGUCGGAAUUGCUAGUAAUCGCGGAUCAGCAUGCCGCCGGUGAAUACGUUCCCGGGCCUUGUACACACCGCCCGUCACACCAUGGGAGCCGGUAAUACCCGAAGUCAGUAGUCCAACCUCGUGAGGACGCUGCCGAAGGUAGGAUUGGCGACUGGGGUGAAGUCGUAACAAGGUACC